rnacentral:rRNA from 2 species
GGCCUAACACAUGCAGUCGAGCGGAUGAGUGGAGCUUGCUCCAUGAUUCAGCGGCGGACGGGUGAGUAAUGCCUAGGAAUCUGCCUGGUAGUGGGGGACAACGUUUCGAAAGGAACGCUAAUACCGCAUACGUCCUACGGGAGAAAGUGGGGGAUCUUCGGACCUCACGCUAUCAGAUGAGCCUAGGUCGGAUUAGCUAGUUGGUGGGGUAAAGGCUCACCAAGGCGACGAUCCGUAACUGGUCUGAGAGGAUGAUCAGUCACACUGGAACUGAGACACGGUCCAGACUCCUACGGGAGGCAGCAGUGGGGAAUAUUGGACAAUGGGCGAAAGCCUGAUCCAGCCAUGCCGCGUGUGUGAAGAAGGUCUUCGGAUUGUAAAGCACUUUAAGUUGGGAGGAAGGGCAGUAAGUUAAUACCUUGCUGUUUUGACGUUACCGACAGAAUAAGCACCGGCUAACUUCGUGCCAGCAGCCGGUUAAAUAACCCGCUGCCCCUUACCCCCCAUCUUUAAGGUGCUUUUAC